rnacentral:rRNA from 1 species
UACGUAGGUGGCAAGCGUUGUCCGGAUUUACUGGGCGUAAAGAGCGCGCAGGCGGUCGGAUAAGUCGAAUGUGAAAGCCCCCGGCUCAACUGGGGAGGGUCAUUCGAUACUGUUCGACUCGAAGGCAGGAGAGGGAAGUGGAAUUCCACGUGUAGCGGUGAAAUGCGUAGAGAUGUGGAGGAACACCUGUGGCGAAGGCGCCUUGCUGGCCGAUUUCUGACGCUGAGGCGCGAAAGCGUGGGGAGCAAACAGG